CAUCUAGAUGUGAAUUAGACCAACUGCUGUCCAAAACUUUCACGUGCGCAUCAAGGGCGCUCGCUGGGCGUGUCCACGUCGGACUGGCUAGAAGACAAAACAAUUUGCCAAUUGCUUCUCCGCCGAUUCGUCCAGACGAAAGACAAAGGAGCCCUCUUCACUGCCUCUUCCCCCCACACGCAAUCUCUCCUCUCGUUUCUCUCCUCCGCCUCUUCCCCGUGGGGGCCUUGCGGCUGCAGUGAGCUGAGAUUUAAGGGGGCGAGCAGGAUGGCUGGCCAACUGAUUCUUCGCCGGAUCUGGAGCCCAGGGAUGCGCGAAGGACCGGCCUGUUGUUGCCGGGGCGAUGAAGUGGUCGGAGGCGCUGGAUCCGCGGCCAAUCAGUCUGCAACGGCGGCAAGACGACGGAGAUCGGGUAAGACCGGUGCUAAAGGUGCACCGCCUUCCCCAUGCCGCCUUCCUGGCUUCCCCCUCGCCUGCCCGCCAUCUCCUCCCCAUCCCAGCCUCGACCACGUCAUCCCCGCCGACGAGCUCGGCCUCUGCAGCAGCGCCCCCCUGGCAGGCGGUUUGUGGAACGGGAAUGCCCCAUUGAUUUUGUUUCUUGUCAUCUCCAGAUGGGUUUGUGGUACCUGCAAUUUAUACUGGAAUUUAAUCUUGAGCUCAGGAUUCCAAGCCCUUUUCUCUUGAGCUGAUUUGCUGCUUAUAAUAUCUGAUGGGUCAUGCAUUCUUUUGGUUCUGAAAUUUAUAUUGCUUUAUCCCGAGUUUAGAAGCCCUGACUGACACUAGGUGGUCCAGUAUCUAGUGAGUUUCCCUUCUGUGUGUAAUUUUCCAUCCACAUGGUUUGCAGUUUUGUACUCAACCAAUCAGUACCGGCAUCAAAAUAUUGAAAUGAUUAGAUGUGGAGUACCUGAUCUGCUCUCAUAAUAACGCAGUCCCUUAUUACUAGCUUUGUAAGAGAGGAAUUAGCCCUAUUUUUCUUUGCUACAAAUAACGUGGAUACAGAAGACUGAAGUAGAACUAGGGCAUCAUGCACGAGAAAUUCAAAUAGUGCACUGGAACCAAACCUUUAGCUCUUGGGUCUUGUUGAUUCAGUGCAAGAACAUAUUUUUUAGCUGGAUGUUUCGCUCAUUUGAGUUUCUAUUGUGUUCUUCAGUAUUGUUAGAUGUCAAGUAUACAAUGAUACACUUAAUCUUGAUUUAAUUUUGAUCAUAAAGAGUUUAGCAUAGUUUUGUUGGACCAAGACCAUCCUUUGUGUAUAUCCGUGAUCUGUACCAAGCAACAUAGCUGCCAGACGAAAUGUUCCUUUCUGAUGAACAUAAGUGUUCCAAUCUCUUCUCUACCACUAACAUAUUUACUUAUUCUUAUGAUAUUGUAAACUUGACUACUUAAGUGUGGAUUGUUUAUGCAGGAUUAUAGCACGGAAGAAAGGUCAAGAGAAAUGGAUAUAUUAAGACUCUUUCCUUACUGGCUUGAUACUAAUCAAUGGAAUGCAAUACUGAACGAUGUUAACAUUCCCUCUUUGUUUAUUCUGACUGGUCCAAAUGGUGGAGGUAAAUCCAGCAUGUUGUGUUCAGUCUACACGGCUGCAUUGCUUGGAAUAUGUGGGCUGAUGGUGCCAGCUGCUUCAGCUGUCAUCUCACACUUAAAUUCCAUCAUGUUGCAUAUGAAGGCCUAUGCUACUUGAGCUGACGGGAAAAGUUCAUUUCAGGUGCCAAUUUUGUAGCUUUGCAUUCCUUUUCUGCAAAAUAUGUGUCUUGUAUUCCCAGGAGCACAUGUGCUACACUAUCUUAUAAUGUUUAGAUUUUCUGGAUCAUGGAGUCAAGCCUGAUAAAAAAUACUUUUUUAUGUUAUUUAAUUUUGAUGUCGAGCUUUUCAAUAUCACGGGAAAGAGUCGAGAUGCUAGAAACUAUAUUGGCAUGGGGCUUGGUGGUAUAGUUCCCUGGCCUUCGAGUCAGGAUAUGAAACUACCUUCAAUUUACAGGAUCUGAAAUAGCUCGGUGAUCUUUCUUCCCACAUCAUCUCAGAAUUCUGUAUGUAGUCCUCUAAAGCAAAAGUGAAAUUUUCAUGUCUUGGUACAUUUUAAUUUCAGAGAACUCGACAUUCAGAACUCGCUGGCUCCAGCUAGAUGAGCUUGCUGGUAUUUUAUUAUCUGGUCAUAAGCAGAUUUGUUAUCUUCAAUUAAAGCUAAAUGUGAGCCACACCAACUUCCUUUAGUUCUUGGAAUUUUGUUAUUGUCCUUUGGAUUAACAAUAUGCCACAAUGCUUUAGAAGAUUUGCAGGGAUGUGUGCUAUUUGAAGAUACAGGUGGCCUUCUUUGUUACUUAUGUUUUCAUUUUUUUAUAAACUAUUUGCAGUUCCAUCUGCUUCGUUUCUGCAAUCUUCAAAUUCAACUUAUGUUAGAGGCUUCAGUUCUUAACAUAUGGUACUUGAUUAAUCAUCAUGUAUAUUGUAUAAACAUAAAAUGAUGCACUGAAUGCACUAUGCUCUUGCAUAUUGUUGAUGUUAAUGUUUAAUUAUGAUCAAGAAUAGUUGGCAUGAGAUGAUCCUGCAUCUGAACUAACGGAAAAGCAAGGAAAGCCUCUGCUGUCUUAUUCUACCUUUUUGUUCUUUGUAGUGUGACAUGCUGAUGCACAACUAUGUUAUCCAACUACAAUUGUAGGCAAGCACUAAUGCCCCUCUUUGUGCUCAUAUGUGUUCUCUGUUAGCCAGGUUAGUGUGAAGUAAGCAGGUAGUUUUAUAGGAAUGCCCACUAUAUCAUGUUCAGAGGUUGCGUAAAAGUUAACUACAUCUGAUAUCCAGCCUCCUUCAUAUUAUUUUCUUCUAUGAUAUAUUCAGUGUCAAUCUAAACGUGCUUCUGAAGUCAAUAACCAUAUCUUAGUGUUUUUUUACAAUAGUCAUCUGCUUCUUAUCUGUUCUAGGUGUUCUUGCCUCUGAGCCCACUCUUUGCCAUGAUGUACUGAUCUCCUCAUUUUACAUUAUUUAUGUUAUUUGUAUGUGCGAUCUUGUCACAAGUUUUCCACAAUUUUUGUUCAUGUCUGUGUCACGAAAAUCAUUUUCGACCAGUCCCAGUUUCUUUCUAUCUACUUGCGUUUAACACCCAGUUGUAAAAUAAUGUGGCGCCGACACUCUCACCCGUCGUUGUGCCUCUCCAGGAUUAGCCAACUCAAGCGACUUCUUGCCAGUGUACAUCGGCGACGACGACCGCACCGACAAUACUGGUGGCCAAGUGCGCCAAGGAGACCAGCACGUCUUACUCACUCUAGACCAGCAGAGUUUUUUCAUUGCCUUUAGGCAUUUGAAACGGAGAUGGUAUGAUCCUCCUAUAUUUGCAUGCUUGUAGCUCUGA